GGAGCUUGCUCCACCGGAUCAGUGGCGAACGGGUGAGUAACACGUGAGCAAUCUGCCCCUGACUCUGGGAUAAGCGCUGGAAACGGCGUCUAAUACCGGAUACGAACUGCGAAGGCAUCUUCAGCAGUUGGAAAGAAUUUCGGUCAGGGAUGAGCUCGCGGCCUAUCAGCUUGUUGGUGAGGUAAUGGCUCACCAAGGCGUCGACGGGUAGCCGGCCUGAGAGGGUGACCGGCCACACUGGGACUGAGACACGGCCCAGACUCCUACGGGAGGCAGCAGUGGGGAAUAUUGCACAAUGGGCGCAAGCCUGAUGCAGCAACGCCGCGUGAGGGACGACGGCCUUCGGGUUGUAAACCUCUUUUAGCAGGGAAGAAGCGAAAGUGACGGUACCUGCAGAAAAAGCGCCGGCUAACUACGUGCCAGCAGCCGCGGUAAUACGUAGGGCGCAAGCGUUAUCCGGAAUUAUUGGGCGUAAAGAGCUCGUAGGCGGUUUGUCGCGUCUGCUGUGAAAUCCCGAGGCUCAACCUCGGGUCUGCAGUGGGUACGGGCAGACUAGAGUGCGGUAGGGGAGAUUGGAAUUCCUGGUGUAGCGGUGGAAUGCGCAGAUAUCAGGAGGAACACCGAUGGCGAAGGCAGAUCUCUGGGCCGUAACUGACGCUGAGGAGCGAAAGGGUGGGGAGCAAACAGGCUUAGAUACCCUGGUAGUCCACCCCGUAAACGUUGGGAACUAGUUGUGGGGUCCAUUCCACGGAUUCCGUGACGCAGCUAACGCAUUAAGUUCCCCGCCUGGGGAGUACGGCCGCAAGGCUAAAACUCAAAGGAAUUGACGGGGACCCGCACAAGCGGCGGAGCAUGCGGAUUAAUUCGAUGCAACGCGAAGAACCUUACCAAGGCUUGACAUAUACGAGAACGGGCCAGAAAUGGUCAACUCUUUGGACACUCGUAAACAGGUGGUGCAUGGUUGUCGUCAGCUCGUGUCGUGAGAUGUUGGGUUAAGUCCCGCAACGAGCGCAACCCUCGUUCUAUGUUGCCAGCACGUAAUGGUGGGAACUCAUGGGAUACUGCCGGGGUCAACUCGGAGGAAGGUGGGGAUGACGUCAAAUCAUCAUGCCCCUUAUGUCUUGGGCUUCACGCAUGCUACAAUGGCCGGUACAAAGGGCUGCAAUACCGUAAGGUGGAGCGAAUCCCAAAAAGCCGGUCCCAGUUCGGAUUGAGGUCUGCAACUCGACCUCAUGAAGUCGGAGUCGCUAGUAAUCGCAGAUCAGCAACGCUGCGGUGAAUACGUUCCCGGGUCUUGUACACACCGCCCGUCAAGUCAUGAAAGUCGGUAACACCUGAAGCCGGUGG
rnacentral:rRNA from 1 species